rnacentral:rRNA from 1 species
UACGAAGGGGGCGAGCGUUGUUCGGAAUUACUGGGCGUAAAGGGCGCGUAGGCGGUGCGGUAAGUCUGAUGUGAAAUCUCCGGGCUCAACUCGGAGUCUGCAUCAGAAACUGCCGUGCUCAAGUGUGGGAGAGGUGAGUGGAAUUCCCGGUGUAGCGGUGAAAUGCGUAGAUAUCGAGAGGAACACCUGUGGCGAAAGCGGCUCACUGGACCACAACUGACGCUGAGGCGCGAAAGCUAGGGGAGCAAACAGG